ensembl:lncRNA
GAGUCUGGUUUCUUGCAAAGUUUUCUACUCCUCUUCUAACAGCUUUUUCUUUGCCAUGUCACUCUUGGAUUGCUUACUGGAAGGAUUUGUAAGGCACUCUUUUCAGUUAAGAUGUUUUGGAAUUAUAUGUAUUUUGGAAAGUGCUAAACAAAUAAAAGUAAUUAGGAAUGCUUGAAGUAAAUUUGGGCAGGUGUGUGUUCACGGUAUAUGUGUGUGUGUGUGUGUGUAUACUGGUAUAUAUGCUUUAUGAGCACACAAAUGUGUAUAAUGGCUUGGGUACUACAAUGUAAACAUGGUUUAUGAGGACACUUCCUGUGUCCCUGUAAAACAAAAGGUUUAAAAUACAUACAAAAUGGUGUUUUAUGAAAUUCAGAAAUGACCAGUAGUUUUCUGUAAGGGGUGGGUUUAGGUGUAGGGCGACAGUGUGUGUGUGUGUGUGUGUGUGUGUGUGUGUGUGUGUGCACUUGGAUGGGUUAGAUGCAGAGCACAAAUUCCAAGUUUGGGACACCAUACAUGGCUACACAUCGCAUCACUUUCUAUAAUUUCUAAAAUAUCAAUAUUACAUUACACUAUAGCUGGGAUUUGCAUGUCUAUGGUAACCCAUUUCUAAAGUAUGCAAAAUUGUCAUGCCCAUUCAAACUGAGGUGGCAUGAUUCUUUGAAAAAAUAUUAAAAUGUUAUAGGUAAAGAAAAAAAUAUCAAAAUAUCAUCAGUCCAUGAGUUGCAGCUUCCAAAGGUAUUUUGCUUAAAAAAGAAAAUUCAUGUAUGUGUGUGUGUGUUUGUAUAUAAAAAGUAAUACUGUUAUAUACUGUUAUAUAACUACCAAUUGUUUUCUACAUUAAAAUUAUUAUUAUUAUUAUUAUUAUCAUCAUCAUCAUCAUCAUCAUCAAUCUUAGCAGAAGCUUUAGGGUUAGUCUAAGAAAAAAAAAUCAAUUUCUGUUUGUUUAUUUAUUUAUUUAUUUAAAUUAAGUACCUAUGUAAUAUGUAAAAGUGUACCUUGAACUUAGGUUUCCUUGCAUACUACACUGUAAAAAAAGACAUUUCA